rnacentral:rRNA from 2 species
UCUGGUGACCAUACUGAAGAGGAUACACCCGUUCCCAUCCUACCCCUCCGGGGCACACGCGAACACGGAAGUUAAGCUCUUCGAGGCCGAUGGUACUUGGGCUUGUCCCUGCUGUGUGCCCCGAAGGGGUAGGAGAGUAGGUCGUUGCCGGAA